rnacentral:tRNA from 1 species
UGCGGGGUAGCUCAGCGGAACGAGCGGCGGGCUCAUAACCCGAAGGUCGGUGGUUCAAAUCCACCCUCCGCAA